AGAAUCAACGCUGGCGGCGUGCCUAACACAUGCAAGUCGAACGAGAAAGUGGAGCAAUCCAUGAGUACAGUGGCGUACGGGUGAGUAACACGUGACUACCUACCCUCGAGUGGGGAAUAACCUCGGGAAACCGGGGCUAAUACCGCAUAACAUCUACGGAUCAAAUGCGAAAGCAGCUUGAGGAGGGGGUCGCGGGCCGAUUAGCUAGUUGGUGAGGUAAUGGCUCACCAAGGCAAUGAUCGGUA
rnacentral:rRNA from 1 species